UGGGGAAUAUUGGACAAUGGGGGCAACCCUGAUCCAGCAAUGCCGCGUGUGUGAAGAAGGCCUGAGGGUUGUAAAGCACUUUAGUCGGGGAGGAGUGGUAUUUGGUUAAGAGCUGAAUACUAGGACGUUACCCGAAGAAUAAGCACCGGCAAACUCUGUGCCAGCAGCCGCGGUAAUACAGAGGGUGCGAGCGUUAAUCGGAAUUACUGGGCGUAAAGGGUGCGUAGGUUGUUGAUUAAGUUGUCUGUGAAAUACCUGGGCUUAACCUAGGGAGGUCAGAUGAGACUGGUUGACUAGAGUACAGGAGAGGGCAGUGGAAUUUCCGGUGUAGCGGUGAAAUGCGUAGAGAUCGGAAGGAACACCAGUGGCGAAGGCGGCUGCCUGGUCUGAUACUGACACUGAGGCACGAAAGCGUGGGGAGCAAACAG
rnacentral:rRNA from 1 species